UGACAGUUUUAUAAGAGUCUGGCGUUUCCCCUCCUUGUGCUUUUCUCUCGUGUGCCAUGUGAAGAACCUUGCUUCCUCUUUGCCUUCCACCAUGAUUCUUCAGGUGCCUGGAUGUUGAGGGGCAAAUAGGACUGUUCACUGAAGGAGCUAGAGAAUGGAAGAGAAGGUUGUGUCAGAUAGAAAUAACAGAAGCUUUCUGAAAUGAAAACAGAAAUGUUACAACUUGCACCACAGUACUGGACUGAAACGAAGAUGUAACACAGCCAUAAUAAUUUAAAUUAAUAGCAAAUAAAUAAAGAAAAAAAGAACUUCAUUGUGAGGACCAUAGUCAUGGGAUAGCUCUGUCUUUUCGGGGAAAGUGGAGUAGAGGGACAGAGUCACCCCAGGAGAAAAAAUGCUUAAAUUAAGACUCCCUGAGAGACUGAAUAAGAGUAUGAUUAGUUCAGCCUUGCUUUCAUCCUCCACUUCCCCCUCCCACUGUAGACUUCAGUUUUAAUAAUGAUUAAAGAAUAAUGCCUGAAUCCCAUCUGAAUGGCUUUUGAGAUUUAACUCACUGAAUCUAUUCAUAGCUUUGAGCUUGUAAGGGGGACUGAACAGAUCUGCACAACUAAUCGUGGAAUAUUACACUGAUACUUCAUCUCCCACAUCAAUACCAAUUACGCCUGCACAGAGAGCAUCACAUAUUAUUUUAAUAGGAUAGGAAUUUUUAAUCCAGUCAGGUAGUUCUGGAUGAAUGUGUUUGUAUGUCUGUCAUUAAAAUUUGGUGGCUCAUGCUGCUCAAGACAGACACAUUUUGAAUGUUUAAAAUUUCCACAGAUGUUAUUUAUCCAUCAGGAUGGAAAAUUUCCUGCUCUCCAGUGUAUAGAUUCUGCCUCAUUAACAUAAAUAAAGAAUAAGGCAUAACAACAACAAUCUUGCUUAAUGUGUACACACAGAAAUAUUGUCAUAGGCAUCUGGCAAUCAGUUGGAGACGGUGAAAACUGCUAAAUGAAUGAAAGUGGCAGAACUAGCAGAAGUAUGAGAUCCCAUACUGGAGAAAAAGGCUCACUGUUAAAAUAUUUUGUUUCUUUGUUCUACUCCUUUUUUAUUUUCAAGGCAUUUUAUUCAGCUUGGACCUUCAGAUAAAAG
rnacentral:lncRNA from 1 species